rnacentral:rRNA from 1 species
UACAGAGGUGUCAAGCGUUGUCCGGAUUUAUUGGGCGUAAAGAGCGUGUAGGCGGUUAGGUAGGUCCGUUGUGAAAACUCGAGGCUCAACCUCGAGACGCCGAUGGAAACCAUCUGACUAGAGUCCGGAAGAGGAGAGUGGAAUUCCUGGUGUAGCGGUGAAAUGCGCAGAUAUCAGGAAGAACACCCGUGGCUAAGGCGGCUCUCUAGUACGGUACUGACGCUGAGACGCGAAAGCGUGGGGAGCGAACAGG